AGGACGAACGCUGGCGGCGUGCUUAACACAUGCAAGUCGAGCGGAAAGGCCCUUCGGGGUACUCGAGCGGCGAACGGGUGAGUAACACGUGAGUAACCUGCCCCUAGCUCCGGGAUAGCUCCGGGAAACCGGAAUUAAUACCGGAUGUGAGUCACGGCCGACAUCGGCCACGAUGGAAAGAUUUAUCGGCUAGGGGAUGGGCUCGCGGCCUAUCAGCUUGUUGGUGGGGUAAUGGCCUACCAAGGCGACGACGGGUA
rnacentral:rRNA from 1 species